rnacentral:tmRNA from 17 species
GGGGGUGUAUAGGUUUCGACUUGGAAAUGAAGUGUUAAUUGCAUGCGGAGGGCGUUGGCUGGCCUCCUAAAAAGCCGACAAAACAAUAAAUGCCGAACCUAAGGCUGAAUGCGAAAUUAUCAGUUUCUCUGACCUCACCGAGGAAAGAUUAGCUGCUUAAUUAGCAAAAGUUGUUGUCUAGAUAACCUCUAGAUAACCCGGUGCUCAUAGACUCCACCAGAGGUUUGUGAAACACCGUCAUCUAUCUGGUUGGAAUCUACCUUCUCUAAUUCUCAAGGAGGUUUAUUCGAGAUUAUUGAGAGUCGUUGGCUUCCAUAGAUGUUCUUAGCUGAGGAAGUUCAAUGUAUGAUUACUAGGGACUAAGCAUGUAGAGGUUAGCAGGGAGUUUACUAAGGACGAGAGUUCGAGUCUCUCCACCUCCAUUU